AGAGUUUGAUCCUGGCUCAGAACGAACGCUGGCGGCGUGCUUAACACAUGCAAGUCGAACGAGAAAGUUUCCUUCGGGAAACGAGUAAAGUGGCGCACGGGUGAGUAACGCGUAGAUAACCUGCCCUUGUGUCUGGGAUAACCCACCGAAAGGUGGACUAAUACCGGAUACGAUGGUCAGCCGUAGGGUUGAUCAUGAAAGAUGGCCUCUGAUGUAAGCUAUCGCACGAGGAGGGGUCUGCGUACCAUUAGCUAGUUGGUGGGGUAAUGGCCUACCAAGGCGACGAUGGUUAGCGGGUCUGAGAGGAUGAUCCGUCACACUGGCACUGAAACACGGGCCAGACUCCUACGGGAGGCAGCAGUGAGGAAUAUUGCGCAAUGGGGGAAACCCUGACGCAGCGACGCCGCGUGAGUGAGGAAGGCCUUCGGGUCGUAAAACUCUGUCAGAAGGGAAGAAAUGCAUCGAGGUUAAUACCCUUGUUGUUGACGGUACCUCAG
rnacentral:rRNA from 1 species